AUAUAUAUAUACGUGGUUUACUGGUUUUACACAGAAAAGAUUAGCAUGGCCCCUGUGCAAGAAUGACAUACAAAUUCAUGAAGAGUUUCAUAUUUUU
ensembl:snRNA U6 U6 spliceosomal RNA